AGAAGAAGAAGCCGGCCGGCGGUGGAGGAGGCGGUGGGCGUCAAUCCUCUCAAUCCGAGGUAUAGCGAGUACGACCCCAAGCAGAGGGAGUACGUGUACACCCGCUUCUGCUUCGAUCCCAGGCUCGAUCUCGACAAGGAGUCCCCUUAUGGCCCAAUGCGCCAUACUCACAAAACCUUCGGAGAGGGAUUCCCGUUGUUUCACUCAGCAAAUAUUCUCUCAGUCAAGAUUGUUUCUUCUGACUAUGGCUACCCACUUAAUGUCUAUGGUACGGUAAUAGCCAGGGAUGAUUUGGAUCGCAAAUGUGUCUAUUUAUUCCGGCGCGACAAGGACAAUCACCAGUUCAUCACCUCAGAGGACAAUUCAUUGGUUUUGACUGAUCCAAAGAGAGGACUUGCGGUCUGUGGUUCGCUAUUCUUUGAAAUCAAUCUGAAGGUUAAGGAUGUGCAUGGGAGGGAGGUCAAGGAUGAAAGGCUCAGCAAAGGCAUGCUGGAUAUUAAUGGCAUCACAAGACAGACAUCAAACUUCAAAUAUGGGGUCGAAACAGGCACGCUUGUCAGCAUGCACAGCACAUUGGAGAUGAACUUUGCAUUUGUUAGGGACGCGGUCGAGGGCACUGUCGAGAUCAGGAUCCUUGAGGGUCCUGUUGAUUUCCAUGGCAAGAUCAUUGCUACCCCCACCAGAGUUCCAUGUGAAAUUGUGCUACAUGAUAGCAGAGUGAAUGGCUUGCUCACUGCCGGCGAUGAUCAAGUCAUGCGAACAGCGCGCCGCGUGGUAUGUGUAUCUGUAGGUGAGAUGCUCCUGGUGACUGUUGCUCCUGAAGGUGGCGAUGAGCUCUCACCCCACACCGUUAGGUUUGCUUCAAAGCUCAACGGUUAUGCCGCCGAGAACAUGAUGUGUGGUAACUAUAAGAUGCAAGUGAAGGUCACUUGGUCGAUUGUGAUGUAA
rnacentral:rRNA from 1 species